rnacentral:misc_RNA from 1 species
UCCGGUUUGGCACCGGCAGUCUCCCUAGAGUUCCCGACAUUCCAGUGCAUGUCAAGCCCUGGUAAGGUUCUUCGCGUCGCGUCGAAUUAAACCACAUGCUCCGCUGCUUGUGCGGGCCCCCGUCAAUUCCUUUGAGUUUUAGCCUUGCGGCCGUACUCCCCAGGCGGGGAACUUAAUGCGUUAGCUUCGGCACGGACGGAGUCGACACCGCCCACACCUAGUUCCCAUCGUUUACGGCGUGGACUAC